GACGUAGGGCGCGAGCGUUGUCCGGAUUUAUUGGGCGUAAAGAGCUCGUAGGCGGCUUGUCGCGUCGGCUGUGAAAACCCGCGGCUCAACUGUGGGCGGGCAGCUGAUACGGGCAGGCUGGAGUUCGGUAGGGGGAGACUGGAAUUCCUGGUGUAGCGGUGGAAUGCGCAGAUAUCAGGAGGAACACCAAUGGCGAAGGCAGCUCUCUGGUACGUGACUGACACUGAGACGCGAAAGCGUGGGGAGCGAACAGG
rnacentral:rRNA from 1 species